ACAAAACUGCCAAUAGAUGACGGGUAUGUGACAUUUGAACCCAGCUACUAUACAAAGACGUGUACUCGGCGCUGUUGUGGAGCAUUCGUUCAGUAGACAUCAAGUUGAAAGCAUCCAGUGCAUUUCCGCCUCCUGACUUUGCUUUGGUUUUCAAGUCUGUUUCAACCUGAAAUAUUAGCCAGAAUGAAGGUUUACAUGUGCCUGCUUCUCCUGAUGGUCGUUGGAUGUGUCUUCGGUUUGGCAGAGACGGACGACUUUCUUGCUGAUGAGGAGUUGGUGCAAGAGCUGGAAUCUCGCGAGAU